UGGCAAAAAGUUAAAAAAUUAAUUGGUUACAAAAGCAGUUGCAAAAAAAUAAACAGUUCCAGGUGCAGGGGCUUAAACUAUCACAAAGAGAGAAAUGCAGGGGUUUUGGGUGCCAUUCACCGAGCGCAUCCCCAGGAGCUGCUGGCGCAGCUUGCCUCAAUAUCUUAACAGUAAGUGAUUCCUGGACAUGCUUUGAGUCAGUUUACACUAGUUAUGUCCUUAAGGGAGGGAGGUAAAGGGGGCUGCACAUGAAGAAACUAAAAUGGAGUCUGUCCAGCUCUCUGCUAGGAGACAGUCACUCAGGUUAAAACAAGGUAGGUUAUCACAGG
rnacentral:lncRNA from 10 species